UUUACUUUCUUCAGCUCAUUUUAUUGUCCUAACAAAGUACCAGCCUCUUGCUUAUGAGUCGUCCACUCUCCGGGUACUCCUGGGAUGGCAGGAGCAGCCAUGGACCCAUCUUGACAUGGCAGUUCCUGCUGCAGCUGUGAAGGGGGUGGCCUGGCUCGGGGGACUGCACAAGAACGAGACCCACGUGAAUUACAAGCUCCCCCCAGGUAAAUCCUAAAGCACCCCUGGACAAGGCCUGAGACCACCAACCUGCUGUGUAACAGCGAGAAGUGCUGGGACAAUUUGCAUGACACCGAAGUCCCUCACAGCAGCAGACCUCCAGAGACAGUGGCAUGGGGCUACCACCCGGAGAGGGAAGAAGGCAGUGGAACUCCCCGUGGAGAGGGAACCUGGAGAAGGGUGACACGUGAUGGCUCCAUCUGAAGUGGUCAUCUGUUGGAGGAGGUAAUCGAGAGGACAUGACCACCAGUUGGCCCAAAGCUGGACCAACAGCUUUGGCAACAGUUCCUAGCGGUGUGCACAGCACUUCUCCAGGCAGAGCCUCUCACGAAGGAGCAGCAUAGCAUGACUACCACCACUAGAGGAUUUGAGAAGCUGAGUACUAUGGACGAAUACCCUUGUUGAACAGACAGUGAUCAGGGGUCACAUUUCAAAGGUCAUGAUGUGCAAGACUGGGCAAAAGAACAUGCCACUGAAUGGAGGUUCCAUCUCCCCUAUAACCCGCAAGCAGCAGGGCUGGGAGAAAGGAAGAACGGAACGUUAAACCAGCAGAUUAAAUUACUAACAGGUAAAACCACCUUGGCCAGGUGGACUAAAGUACUGUCCCAGGCUUUAAUACACUUGAAUGAUCAACCAGUAGGGUCUAUUGUCCCAUAUGCCAGACUGGGGACCCUUGCCGAGACACUCAACACUGUCAAGGUAUGGAAGUCGCAGGACAUAGCCACUGCCCCGACCCUCACUGUGGAUCAUUGUGCUAUGCUGCUGAGAACACCAAGCCCCAUCCCGCCUGGGAAAGGCAUUAACUACUGGAAUUUGCAAUAGGACAUCCCACCGGGAUGGCCACAUAACCUCCAAAUGAGCCACCUAUGCUCCAUGAAACCCCUUGCUGACUGCUCAAGGCACAUGGCAGAAGAGGGGAGCGUGUAAGAUUGUAAGAGCUGGUCAUGAGGGGUGGAGUAUUGGAGGUCAUGAAGAGGAUGUGACCACUGGUUGACCCAUGAGCUGGACCUGGACAAUGGAAGGCUCCUUACCCCCUCCCCUGUCCUUGGAACGUACAUUCUGCCCAUCCCAAGGAUGCAGCCUUGAGAGAGCAAUGUGUUGCUGAGACCAUCUGGAUGGUGUAUGUGAUUGAACCAGUUAUGGCCUCUAUAUGAACUUUUAAGAUUCUGGCAGGCGGGAGGUAGAGAUCUACUCACCUUGUGGCCGCCCAGGACAAACCUUAUAAGUAAGCUCCUUUGCUUAUUAAACCUGCCAUCCAGGGGCCGGCCCCGUGGCUGAGUGGUUAAGUUCGCGCGCUCCGCUUCGGCGGCCCAGGGUUUCGCCAAUUCCAGUCCUGGGCGCAGACAUGGCAUCACUCAUCAGGCCACGCUGAGGUGGCGUCCCACUUGCCAUAACUAGAAGGACCUACAACUAGAAUAUACAACUAUGUACUGG
ensembl:lncRNA